rnacentral:rRNA from 1 species
GACGAACGCUGGCGGCGUGCUUAACACAUGCAAGUCGAACGGAAAGGCCCUGCUUUUGUGGGGUGCUCGAGUGGCGAACGGGUGAGUAACACGUGAGUAACCUGCCCUUUACUUUGGGAUAACUUCAGGAAACUGGGGCUAAUACCGGAUAGGAGCUCCUGCUGCAUGGUGGGGGUUGGAAAGUUUCGGCGGUUGGGGAUGGACUCGCGGCUUAUCAGCUUGUUGGUGGGGUAGUGGCUUACCAAGGCUUUGACGGGUAGCCGGCCUGAGAGGGUGACCGGCCACAUUGGGACUGAGAUACGGCCCAGACUCCUACGGGAGGCAGCAGUGGGGAAUAUUGCACAAUGGGCGGAAGCCUGAUGAAGCAAAGCCGCGUGCGGGAUGACGGACUUCGGGUUGUAAACCGCUUUCGCCUGUGACGAAGCGUGAGUGACGGUAAUGGGUAAAGAAGCACCGGCUAACUACGUG